CAGAAGGACCACAGCCAUCGCCCGUCUCCCAUCUCCAAAAUGGCGGAGGCAGCUUCAACCUCACCUCUCGCGAGGAGUUCGUCCUACUGUUUCUGAUUAGCCCUGAGGUCAGAGGUAACGUUCCCUGGCCCCCAUUUCUCGGAUCAUCCAGGUUCCACUGUGAAUCUGAACUAACUGCUUCCUGGCUCCUUCAAUCAAAUUGAGGAGACCAAGAUUGGAGUACAGGUGUCCUUCGUUUGCAAUAUUAUGUAGCGGCCACUUGCCUGCACUUGAAAACUAUGGUCCAGCAAAUCAAACACUUCAGUUCAUACACAUCUGCUGUGAUGUGCUUGAUGCUUUCCCUUAACUAGGAUGGCGGGAGAGAUGACUCAAUGACUUGAAUCCGGGGCACAAUCUCUCUAGAUCUGUCUAUUUGUAAAAUGAGAAUAAGACCUCAUAAGGCUGCCGGGGAAUUAAAUAAAAUA